AAGUCGUAACAAGGUUUCCGUAGGUGAACCUGCGGAAGGAUCAUUAACACGUAUCCAAACGUUAAAACCCCCCUGUGAACUUUCACCACUUCUUAAGCCCUCCCGGGGGUAGAGCAGGCAAUCCCUAGUAAAUCAUUGUCUUAACAGGUUUUGAGUUAGGGACGUCCCCCACUACGGCACUUGUGCAGAAGACAGUAUUGCCCUGGUGCCACCAAGCAACCAUCAAUCUUAGAGUGUUUGGUGAAUUGUGCACAGUCACCUACUACGUGUCCUACGUGAGCAUGGCAAGCGGACGCGCCGAAAGGUUGUAUCCACCCCUAAAACCGAACAACUGUUAACAAUGGAUAUCUUGGUUCUC
rnacentral:misc_RNA from 1 species